CGAAGUGCGAAUAUUGGCACAAUGGGGGAAACCCUGAUGCAGCAACGCCGCGUGAGUGAUGACGGUCUUCGGAUUGUAAAGCUCUGUCUUUAGGGACGAUAAUGACGGUACCUAAGGAGGAAGCCACGGCUAACUACGUGCCAGCAGCCGCGGUAAUUAAAAGC
rnacentral:rRNA from 1 species